ensembl:lncRNA
UCCUCUCUCUCUGUCCGUCCCUCUCUCUCUCUGUCCGUCCCUCUCUCUCUCUCUGUCCGUCCCUCCCUCUCUCUGUCUGUCCUCCCUCUCUCUCUCUCUGUCGUCCCUCCUCUCUCUCUGUCCGUCCCUCCCUCUCUCUCUCUGUCCGUCCCUCCCUCUCUCUCUGUCAGUCCUCCCUCUCUCUCUGUCGGUCCCUCCCUCUCUCUCUCUGUCCGUCCACUCCCUCUCUCUCUCUGUCCGUCCCUCCCUCUCUCUCUCUGUCCUCCUCUCCCUCUCUCUCUGUCCGUCCCUCUCUCUCUCUCUGUCCGUCUC